UAGGUGUCCUCUCCUGCAGAACAGAAGCAUU
rnacentral:piRNA from 1 species